rnacentral:misc_RNA from 1 species
AAAAAAGUAUACAAAAUACUAUUAAUUGCAAUAGAAAAAUAAUAUUUAUACGUUCACUUACUAUAUAAAUAAUAAUAAUUUCUUUUUUUUUGUCAAAAUAUAAAAAGAAAUAAUUUGCGGAGUUGAAAACUUGGAAACCUGACGUUGACGACCACCCCCGUCCACGCGACAACCAUUAACUAGGUGAUGGAAGCUGCGCAUUAUCCUGAUGUGGGUGGCAUUUUCGUAGAUCGUAACUCAUCUCACACAGGUAUACGACCCAGACAGCGAGUUUAUAUCUAAUGUACACCCAGAGUCCAAACAUAUAUUCCUCUACUCACACCUACGCGCACACACGCUCUCUUCUUCCCUUAACACAAACUCCACUGAUUUCACUGAAUCUUGCAAUUACUGGCUCGCUGGUGAACUUAAUGCCGCUUCGGAGUCAUUGAUGACUGAUAACCCCUUUUCCGGUGCCCCAGGAGGAAGAAGAAGAAGCAACAGGGUCACCGGAGUGACCUCGAGAUUGAAGGCAACGACCUUGGCUUGUUGUACUCUUUUCCUUUCGACAAAGAUCCAGUGGUCGUCAAGCAUUCGAGAUUCACUCUCCGAUCUAAUCACAUUCCCAGCCAGGGAGAGGUGAAGCCAAAGAAGAAAGGAGAAAUGGCUAACAAGAUAUCGAAUUUCUCUGAUCUAAUCCAACGAGUGGCGGCUUCAUGCUUGCUCCACCCACUCGCCGCCGGCAGGCAGGAUCCCGGGAAUGUAGCCGAGGACGGGAGAGAAGGGUACGAGUACGAGACUGACGAGCAGGAAGACUUUGAGGAUGAAGAUGAGGAAUAUGUGGAGGAAGAGGAGGAUAUGGAAGAGAAGAAAGGGAGUGUGAAAGGUUGGGACCACGAGAAGAAGAACAUGAGCGGAAUAGUGGCUAUUGAGAGAGUGAUGGAGAUGGAGAUGUUAAUGAACGAAGUUUUCGAUUCAGUCUCGGCGAUGAAGAGAGCGUAUGUGAGUCUACAAGAGGCGCAUUGCCCGUGGGACCCGGAAAGGAUGAGGGUGGCUGACGUGGCGGUAGUGGGGGAGCUAAGGAGGCUGGGUGUUUUGAGAGAGAGGUUUAGGAGGUGCGUUAGUGUUGGUGGCCGUGGAGGGAGAAAGAGAAUUGAUGGUGACGGAAUGGGGAUGUUAAAGGAGGUGGUGGCGCCUUAUGAGGCUGCGGUGGAGGAGCUGAAGAAGGAGGUGAAGUCGAGGGAUGUGGAGGUGGAGAAUUUGAAAGAGAAACUGAAGAACCUUAGCACCAGCCUGAGCAAUGGGAAUGGAAAGAAAGGGAGGUCUCAAUCAAAGAGGAAAGUCGGCUGCAUUCAUGCUGCUCAAGUUGCAGCAGCACCAGCACCAGAUCUUUUUGAAGCAACGAUGAACCAGGUGAAAGAGACCUCAAAGUCCUUCACAUCGCUUCUCUUAUCCCUCAUGCGUGCUGCCCACUGGGACAUUGCUGCUGCUGUCCGCUCCAUUGAAGCUGCAACUGCCACCGCUGAAAAUGUCGCCACCAUCAACCACACUACUGCCAUAGCAUCCACCAUUGUAACCCACCAUGCCAAGUAUGCUCUGGAGUCCUACAUUUCUCGAAAAAUCUUCCAGGGCUUCGACCACGAGACGUUCUACAUGGAUGGCAGCCUUUCCUCGCUUCUCAACCCAGACCAGUUCCGCCGUGACUGCUUUACUCAGUACCGAGACAUGAAGGCCAUGGACCCAAUUGAGCUUCUAGGAAUCUUGCCAACUUGUCACUUUGGGAAAUUCUGCUUCAGAAAGUAUGUUGCCAUAGUUCAUCCAAAAAUGGAGGAGUCCUUGUUUGGAAACUUGGAGCAACGCCAGCAAGUAUUGGCUGGUAGCCAUCCGAGGAGUCAGUUUUAUGGUGAGUUCUUGGGGCUGGCCAAAGCCAUUUGGUUGCUUCACUUGCUGGCAUUCUCGCUCGACCCUGCACCAAGUCAGUUUGAGGCAAGUAGGGGAGCUGAGUUUCAUCCACAAUAUAUGGAGAGUGUAGUGAAAUUUUCUGGUGGCCGAAUUCCAGGCGGUCAGACUGUGGGGUUCCCUGUCAGUCCUGGGUUCAAGCUUGGAAAUGGAUCAGUUAUCAAGGCUAGGGUUUAUCUAGUUCCCAGGACAUGAAUUGUUUCAGUUUCGGUUGAUAAAUGUAAUUUCCGUGCUGUAGGAUGUAAUGGGUUGAUUGGUUAGUUUAAACUUUUCUUCUCUCAAGAAAACUUGGAAGAGAUUCUAUGAGAGAAAUAGUUUGCUAGUGUUCCUAGGAAAUAGGUGGUUUACUGAUGCUAAGUCGUGUUAUGAUGGUGUGUCGUUUUGAAUGAGAAUUCCUUGGGCUGUUUGGAACAUGCUAUACAUGCAACAAGUUUUUCUCCUUUUAAGACCAACCCUCUCUUAAGCCUCUAAAAAUCAUUUGUCCUUCAGGGAGUAUAAUCAUUGCUUGAAAGUAUAGCAGUUCAGCUUCAAGAUUCAUUUAUUUACUUCCUCUGCAUUAAUUAAG